AAACAUUUUAACUUCAAUAUGUUACUUGUCUACUUGUGGAUUAGAAUAAUAAAAUGCAAGAUAUUUCUGCUGCUGAGGCAAAGUCUUUCAAGGGAUUCCCUGGGAAAGGCUUAGUAUAACCAGGGAGUAGUACAGGUAAACGAGAUUACAGCAAUACAAGAACUAUGAAAUACUCCUCAAUUUUGGGGAGCAUCAUAGAAGGUAAACCUACUCGGUCAGCUCUGUGCACAAUGCUGGGUUCUGUGUCAUUUUGCUUUGUGAAUGCAAAGCCACAAAGAAAGUGUUCGUAUUAUAAAUUUAGACGUAAUUCACGAUCUUUUAAAUCAAUCAUAUUACACUUCUCUAUUUUUUUAUAAUAAGUGUCAAGUUUAAAUAGAAUGUCAGCUUUUUCUCUAACAUUGUUUGGUUGACAUUCUAAUUUAUUAUUGUUUAUACUUUUUGCAGCCCCUUUUGGAUUGAUGUCUCAACUUUGAAGGUGCAUAUAAUUACACUUGAUAUAUUUGACACACUUAGAGUUUACAAGUCAAGAUGUAGAUUUUGAAGACUUCAUGAAGGUUGAAGAGUUAGUUAUCAUUUUGCAAGGACUGCUAGGCAAUAUUUUGUAUUUUUUGCUAUGGAUGCUAGCUUUUUCACUAAGAGUUUGUGUAAGUAGUAUGGUAACUUUGAAUCAUAGUUGUACCAUGACCCUAAUGACAUGUUAAUCCAUGUUUUGAAGUUAAUUAUAUGUAUGAAAUAAUGGUUAUUAUUGAAUAUAUUGUUGAAAUCCAAUUGAUUUCUUGUGCUGUAAGUUGUAUAAUAUUGUGAUGAAAUGGGAUUGAAAUAUGUUUUUAAUGUAUUUA